UUCUCUGGAGAGUUCCAACAAGGACGCCGAAGGUGUAAGGCAGGAAAGCAGGCUGCCGAUCUCUCAGGCAAACGGACAGAGCA
rnacentral:ncRNA from 1 species